GAUGAACGCUGGCGGCGUGCCUAAUACAUGCAAGUCGAGCGAACAGACGAGGAGCUUGCUCCUCUGACGUUAGCGGCGGACGGGUGAGUAACACGUGGAUAACCUACCCAUAAGACUGGGAUAACUUCGGGAAACCGGAGCUAAUACCGGAUAAUAUAUUGAACCGCAUGGUUCAAUAGUGAAAUACGGUUUUGCUGUCACUUAUAGAUGGAUCCGCGCCGCAUUAGCUAGUUGGUAAGGUAACGGCUUACCAAGGCGACGAUGCGUAGCCGACCUGAGAGGGUGAUCGGCCACACUGGAACUGAGACACGGUCCAGACUCCUACGGGAGGCAGCAGUAGGGAAUCUUCCGCAAUGGGCGAAAGCCUGACGGAGCAACGCCGCGUGAGUGAUGAAGGUCUUCGGAUCGUAAAACUCUGUUAUUAGGGAAGAACAAAUGUGUAAGUAACUAUGCACGUCUUGACGGUACCUAAUCAGAAAGCCACGGCUAACUACGUG
rnacentral:rRNA from 1 species